CGCUUCGCACGUCCCCGCCGUCGCGCUCGCCUCCCUCCUCUUUGUUGCCUCCGCGUCGACCUCCACCCCGCUCUCCGACGCGCUUACCGUCGUCUCGGAUUUCUGGUGCACUCUCUUCUCUACGACGCGAGCAAGGGCGGCGCUUGCCAUGGCAUCGACGGGAACCAGGAGGGGAGCUGUUUGAGCGGAUGCCCACCAGGAACAAUGUUUCCUAGAUCACGAUGUUUGGGCCACUUUUGGAAGAGGUCAGGGAUGACAUGUUUUCAAGCUUGGAGGACAUCACCAACGCACCAUAUGCAGAUCUGCUCUCUAUUAAUUCAAUGAGGAAAGGAAAGGGGUCAUAGAAAUUAGUCUUGGCAGAUGGAGGGGAACGUCUCAAUGACUGAGGCACAUUUUUUCUUGUUAGUUAGCUCAUGGAUUUUUAUGGUCCAAGAGGAGUUGCUGCUAUAUGAAUAUGACAACACCCAUUAAUCAACAUAACUAUAUGAAUACAAUCUGAAAGGAAGGUCGGUUUGGUCAGAAACACAUGGAGGUACUGAUGGAGGCUAUGAAACAUAUAAGAGACAUGCCAGUGAGGAGCAGGAGUAGUUUAGUCGGUUCUUGCUUUAUGAAGUGGAUGCAAUUAGAAAGACGUACGAGCAGGCCAACAUCUCGCGGUGGCUCGCCCUGGGCAACCGGACCUGCCCGACCACGAUGCAGGAGCUCUGGGACGACGCCCUCACCCCCAACGCCACUCUCUGACAGCUCAUCGUCACCUGGUUCUCCCGCCUGGUUCUGCAUUUUGUUUUCUUAUCUGUCAAUCAUGUUUUUCCAUAUUACUGCAGGCGGGUCUGAUUAAUUAUUUAAAUGUAGUUUAUCUUAGAUACUGUUUGAACGUAUGGGAUGUUGGAGGACAGAAGACAAUCAUGUCUUACUGGAGAAAAUUCUUUGAGCAGACUAAUGGGUUAGUUUGGUUUGCUGAUAGUUCACACAUAAGGAGGCUUGAUGAUUGCCGUGCUGAACUCCACAAUCUCUUGAAAGAAGAGAGACUAGUUGGAGCUUCAUUGUUGAUUUUUGCAAAUAAGCAAGACAUGCAAGGAGCUCUAAAACCAACUGGAAUCGCGAAGAGUCACUCUCCGACAGCUCAUCGCCGCUUGGUUCUCCCGCCGGUACACAAGGUUUAAGAAGCGCUCCGCGGACUUCCACGGCCGCGCUGCCGAUCUCGUCCACAGCCUCCGGGGCACGGCGAUGCCCAGGAGACAGGCCCUCGAGGAAGAGCAAUGUAGAGAAGAGAAAGGUAUCUCGACUGUUCCAAAGCACAAGUAUGCAUCCAAAGCCUGUUCCCCAAAAGUUUUGAAGACUUAAACAAUAUGCUGCAUGAAAAUCUUUACUUUAUUCACAACACACCUGAGAUGGACUGGGCUUGGGCAGCUAACCGGUUAAUUGAGAAGGAUGAGGCAUAAACUCCAGACGAUGCUCCUUUAAAUUAUUUGCCGCAGAAGAGGCUAAUUUUGACAAGCCAGUUGAUCCAGCAACUUCUCCCUGCUAUACCAGCGACCAUUUUGAGAGGACAAGCUGUGUCUACUUACGGAAGUGCGACAUACACUCUAUCAAUGUUGACACUAAGGGAUGCAUGCAGCAUGGUAGCAUCAUUAUCAUCAUCAUAUAACUCUUGCUCACCUGUGGAGGAUGAAAAUAACCCAUCUGAACAAACAAGUGCUAAGAAAAUGGAAGACAGAGUAUCAAAGGUUGUGGAAGUCUUCGCUGGAAGAAUCCAGAAGAUGGAAAAUGACUUUAUAAGUUUGAACAAGAGGGCCUCGACUAAUCGGACGACUGGACGAUUAGUCGACCUAAUCGGGUCGGAUGCCCUGGUCGUUCCACUAAAACCGACUAGACCGACUAAUCGCGAUUAAUCGCGAUUAGUCGGACGACUUGAAAUCAUUGAUCAGUGAUUCCCUCACGGUUGUGUCCUUCACAAAGGAAGGAUGUGAAGCCACACUAUUAUCAAGCAACAAAGCCAAAGUUGUGUGACACAAUUAUAACAAAGGAAUCAUCACCCAUUAGCACACUAAAAUUGGCGCAUACAGAUAACGCACCUGCAAAGUGGGAUCAUUUGAACAUAGUUCAGCAAAGGGCCGACGCACUUGAGUCACUCCUCAAGCUCUACGCAAAGCUUCUGGAGGAGAGGCUCGAUGAGCUCGCCGACGUUUUUCGACCAUUUGGUGAGAGAGCUGUGUCAUCCGGAGAGAUGAGCAUACAAUGAUGUCUGACCAUAAGCCUGAUGACUCCACCGAAGUUUUGAGAGUCCCCAACAAUGCUUUUGUAGCAGCGAUUCGUUUCAACAUUUUUUUGUUUUUCAAAUACCAUUUCGAGAGUGUAAAUAACUUCAACGGAAUUCAAAAUUGAUGUACUUAGGUAGGCCUGAGCCCUGUUUAUUUUUGAUGUAUAUGGUUUGCAUGUCACCAACUGUUGUGAGCGAUGAUUGAUUAUUUAUCGUCUUGUUUUAUCUGUCUGUACUCCUUUAAUGCAGCACCUUCGUUUGUCAUGUGUCGUCUCCCCUGUAAGAUGUUGAUUAAUAUUCAUUAUAUCAUUGUUU